rnacentral:lncRNA from 1 species
CUUGCUGCAGGGCAUCUCUUAAGCACAGUUUAAUCACAUUGCUGGGAACUGCAAUUAUUUUGCAUCUCCCGGAGGCUCCUGAGAGACAACUGUAAAUAAUGGCUUAUUCUCUUCACCAAACAAGAAGGCAAUUGACUCACACAAUUGCCUGAAGACUGGGCCUGGGAACUCCAGUUUCAUUCCACAGGGAUGCACUUAAAGGGCUGGCGUAGAGAAUGAAAAACUCCCCAAUGGAGUGCCUUCCUGCCUUCUCUAACUACAAAGUUCUUUAAGAAGCCAAGGGAGGCGUUACCUUCUUGUAUGCAGUCAGACUUCCACAGGUGCCAGCGCCAAGGGGAAGGCAGGGCAAAGGCUGAACACUGGCUAUGGCAGUGCCCACCCCUUCAUGGAGUCCACAUCUGACAAGCAGUGCAGGUGGAGCUAUGUGACAUGUCCCUUGGAGGAGUUUUGCUCCGGCUCACUGCAAUCUUGGCUCACUGCAACCUCCGCCUCCUGGGUUCAAGCGAU